ACGAGUUUGAUCAUGGCUCAGAUUGAACGCUGGCGGCAUGCUUUACACAUGCAAGUCGAACGGUAACGGGGACUUCGGUCUGCCGACGAGUGGCGAACGGGUGAGUAAUAUAUCGGAACGUGCCCAGUAAUGGGGGAUAGCUCGGCGAAAGCCGGAUUAAUACCGCAUACGCCCUGAGGGGGAAAGUGGGGGAUCUUCGGACCUCACGUUAUUGGAGCGGCCGAUAUCAGAUUAGCUAGUUGGUGGGGUAAAGGCCUACCAAGGCGACGAUCUGUAGCUGGUCUGAGAGGAUGAUCAGCCACACUGGGACUGAGACACGGCCCAGACUCCUACGGGAGGCAGCAGUGGGGAAUUUUGGACAAUGGGCGAAAGCCUGAUCCAGCCAUGCCGCGUGAGUGAAGAAGGCCUUCGGGUUGUAAAGCUCUUUCAGGUGGAAAGAAAGCGGAUGGGUUAAUACCCUGUCCGGAUGACGGUACCACCAGAAGAAGCACCGGCUAACUACGUG
rnacentral:rRNA from 1 species